rnacentral:rRNA from 1 species
GAGUUUGAUCGUGGCUCAGAACGAACGCUGGCGGCAUGCCUAACACAUGCAAGUCGAACGAGACCUUCGGGUCUAGUGGCGCACGGGUGCGUAACGCGUGGGAAUCUGCCCUUGGGUUCGGAAUAACAGUUAGAAAUGACUGCUAAUACCGGAUGAUGACUUCGGUCCAAAGAUUUAUCGCCCAGGGAUGAGCCCGCGUCGGAUUAGCUAGUUGGUGAGGUAAAGGCUCACCAAGGCGACGAUCCGUAGCUGGUCUGAGAGGAUGAUCAGCCACACUGGGACUGAGACACGGCCCAGACUCCUACGGGAGGCAGCAGUGGGGAAUAUUGGACAAUGGGCGAAAGCCUGAUCCAGCAAUGCCGCGUGAGUGAUGAAGGCCUUAGGGUUGUAAAGCUCUUUUACCCGGGAUGAUAAUGACAGUACCGGGAGAAUAAGCCCCGGCUAACUCCGUGCCAGCAGCCGCCGCGGUAAG